rnacentral:tRNA from 1 species
GCCGCUCAGUAGAAGAGUUUCUACUUUGUAUGGAGAAGGUCCCAGGUUCAAUUCCUGCCAGCUCCA